GCAACUCGCCUGCAUGAAGUCGGAAUUGCUAGUAAUCGCAGAUCAGCAUGCUGCGGUGAAUACGUUCCCGGGCCUUGUACACACCGCCCGUCACACCAUGAGAGUUGGGAAUACCCGAAGCCUGUGAGCUAACUAUACGAGGCAGCAGUCGAAGGUAGAAUCGAUGAUUGGGUGAAGUCGUAACAAGGUAAC
rnacentral:rRNA from 1 species